rnacentral:lncRNA from 1 species
GGGCAGUGAUAGGGCAGCACCAGACGGAGCGCUCUAGCUAAGGGAUACAGAUUAGAGAUGAGGACCUAACUCCAAAGAGUAAUAACUCUCUGCUGAAGUGACUUCACAGAUAAGAAGUAAAGAAUCAAUUUAGUCUUAGAUAGAAAACCUUUCCAUGAAUAACGAGGGGAAAAAGUUAAAGGACAUGAAGCAAAUAAAGCAAGAAAAAAUACAGAUGAUCAGAAAAGAGCAAAAUAUUUGCAACAGGUUAAUAGCUGCAAGGAAACUCUUACACACCAAGAUCAAAAGAAGCCUGUUGGCAUAAGGCAUUUUGGCAUCAGACUAGAUUUUGCACAUGCUGACAUGUCAAAAUCUUGAAACAGAAACUUCAGAACUUCCUUAUGAUUGCUGAAGGCAUGUCGCUGACUUCAUACUAGCUCCAGAGUACAUCUUUCCAGGGUAGCACUCAACCAUGUAAACACAAAACUAGGCAAACCAAGCCUAAAUGUGUACUUGGAAGUGAAAGUCUUAAGCAGAACAAAAUAUGAAUCAGCUUCCAAAGCUGCCAAGUUUCAGAUUUCAUGAAGGUUGAUUGGACUUGAUCCAUCAUUUUACGGAAAAUUAAUUAUUUCAAAUACAUGCACCACUUUAUGCAACCUGCCUGAUUUGCAUUG